AGCUAUUCCUAUAAUUUGGCAGCCCAUCGUAUUUAUUAUUUUUUUUUUUCAGAAGUGAAGUGAAGAACCGUUACCGUAAAAUGGUCUCUGACAACGACUUCAUAUAAUGGUCUCUGAAAGUCGUAGAGUUAGGAAAUUGGCUUCAUUACGUAAUAGUGCCCGCUUUUCGACUGGAGCUGCUGGAGCUUAAUGCUUAAAUUAACUGACAUGUGGCACUAUGCGUGUUCGGGGUCAUGGUGAAAAGCUAUUGUUGAUAGCUAGCUGUCGCUUCGCUAUUUAGUUUCGGUUCUGGCGCGACAGACCAAGCCAUACAUAUUGCUCCAGCUUGCCAAGCCAAUGCAGAUCAGUGGAUUCGUCACAGUUUUCCUAGUUUUUUUCAGAGAACUACUUUGUUAAGAAAGCCAAGCAACUCUAUAGGAAACAAAAUGAAAGAAGGGGAACUUAAUUGAGCCAUUCAUUUGAAUACCAGCUGAUGAAGCAGACAAGGCUGUCUGCAAAAGGAAUAUAGUUGUUUUAAUAAUAAACUUAAUAGUUGUUUAAACAUGGUUUUUAGCAUGUCAAUCAAGAAUACAUGUGGAUGUCGAUAUUCAAAUACAGCAACCUUACAUCAAGCAGCUGUUAAAGGAGAACUUGGUAAAGCCAUUCAAUUAGAUUCCAGAUUAUAGCUGCUAAAACAGACAAGCUAUCUGUGGAAUCUCCAAUGUUAAAAUCGGGUUUUUAUCAUAUCUGCUUAGAGUACUUUAUUUUGUUUUAAAGAUUUACAGGUAUUCUGUAGACCAGGUGUCGGCAACCUAUGGCACUUGGUACGAUUUGCAGUGGCACUUUACACCACUGUACCCAGUUAUCAGAUAAAUUGCCAUGUCUCUCCUCUCUGCACUGCCCCAUCUUAUGCAUGCACCUCAUGCAUUUUCUUUCCUUUUGUUGCUCAAUGCUCGAGUAUCGAGUAUGUUUUCAGUUGAAAGUAGAAUUUAGUUCGAUGCACGUCAUGUGCUUAUAGGCUACUUUUAACUUUAUGACAUGUUCUUAGUUUUAUUGUGAAAAAUUGUAUUUUAUUUGUUUAAUUAUUGGGAAAAUUCAUACGUUCAUAUUUAAUCAAAUGGCAAGUAAUAAAAGAAGCUUGAUAUUUGCAAUUUUCAAGACUCUUGGAUGGAUGAAUAUAGAUUCACACUAUAAAACAAUCGUGCUGUAUGCAGGGUUGCAACACUACCGGGAAAAAUCAGUCAAAAUCUGGAAAAGUCAGGGAAUUUCAUAUGGCGAUUAAAAAAAAAAAAAAAAAAAAGAGUUUGCGCCGACGUUGGAAGCAAUCACUUUCUUGGCGAAUUAUGUAUCAUGUGAGCAUCAUUUGGCCAGCUGGCAUAGAGCCAAUUUUUGCAGCUCCAGUUAGAUUCUUUAAGAAAGGCAAAGCAAGUCUCCAGUAACCUCAAGAAUUGAGAUACUCGCAUGCACAUGUGCAUGUUGAACUAAAGAAAAUACGUAUUCUCGUAUAAAACAAAAUCAGUUUAAUCUCAUCGGUUUAAUCAUGGAGGUUAGAAUAGCCUCCAUGUACGAUGCACACAUGACUUGGCGACAUUAUGAUGAGCAGUAAACGGGUCAUUUCAAAAUCCUGCCAAGGCUGUAGCGUAUACUAGGAUUUUACCGCAAAAUCUUUUAAACCCUUUUUUUUUUUCUUUUUAAUAAAUGCCUUAUUUGUCAUUUUGCAGUAAAAUAAAAAAUAGUAAUCAGUCACCUAGCUAACCAUUUAAUAUAACUAUAUUCGGCAAAAUAUUGUUGAUUCUCUGCCAUAAUCCUGAAACUAAUUCUAGCAGUAUGAUGACAUAUCACGACGAAAUUUAUUGCACAUAUUUUUUGUUUAUGUAUGCUGCUAAAUAAAUAUAAAAUACCUGAAUUUAUUUUAAAAUAUUAAGUAGAUUUCUUUCUUUCGUUUAGCUGCAAAAUGCCUGCAAGAAAAGACAUUUUCUAAUCCAGAUUGGGUAGAUUCUAAUCUCAAUCUUCAAUGGAGAAAACAACUCCUAUUAUAGUUAUAAUAGUAAUGAUUUGAGGAUUAUAUAUAUAAAGUCAUGUAAUGACAGAUUUUUGUAUUUCCAAGUGGUACCAUAAUUAAUUUACCUCUUAGCCCAGCCAACGUGCAUUACGAUAGACUGGAAUUUUCUUAAAACACACCUGGAAAAGUCAGGGAAUUUCAUUCUCGUGUUUAAGUGGCAACCCUGUGUAUGUGUAUUAUGUUGCAAAAACAUCAUAUGUUGCACGUCAGCUGUACAAAGGCAUUUUCAAACUAAACGUCAGUCCACAUUUCAGAAUGUGGAUAAGACAUCAAUGUAGAUGAGACAAUGUGGAUGAGAUCACGAUGAGAAAUGUGGACUUACAAAAAGAGCUGUUUCUGGGUAUAUGAAUACAUUUUUUGUCAAACAAUUCAAACGAAACCUAAAGUGGCCGAAUGUAGUUUUGUAAUUGCUCACUAUGUAACUGCUAAAGGCAAGUCUUUCACAGAUGGCAAAUAUGUAAAGGAUACAUUUUUAAAAAGUGUUGAAAUAUUGCCCAGCGAUUUACCAAGUCUACAAACAAUAUUAUCUUGAAUUCAAGAAAUACAUGCUUUUGUACAAACUAUUGAAAGACAUAAUUCAAAUAGCAGAAAAUGGAACAACAAAACAUAAUUCUGGAUUGCAAGAAAUGUUGCAUUUAAUGUUUCUCUUGGUGAAAGACCCAAGUGAAUGAUGUUUCGUGCCUUGUGGUAAUUGCACGACAUUUAGGUAAAGAUCAAGUUUAUGAAGAAUUAUGCAGCUUGAUUCCUCUAUCUGAGGCAACUAAGGGAUAGGAUAUUCUUUCUUCAUUUAUAAAUUAUUUUGAAAGUAAGACAUUAAUAUAAAUAAAAUAUUUUGUGUAACUACUGAUGGAUCUUCUGUUAUGGAUGGCAAAGAAAAAGGAUUUGUCAAACAUCUUGAAAAUCAUAUUGAACAUCCAUCGCAUAAUACAUCAGAAAAGUUUAGUUCCCAAAAUUUCAUCACAGUGCUUAAUUUCUGUAAUGAGCCCUGUUGUUAAAAUAGUUAAUUUCAUAGUGUCUUGUUCUGCAUUGCUACACAGCAAUUUAAAUCUCUUAGAAGAAAUGGAAAGUUAGUAUGGGGAUCUCCCCUUAUACAGCUAUGUCCAUUGGCUUAGUUGAGGUAAUGUAUUGAAUAAGUUUGUCAUGCAUGGAACACAUUAAAGUGCUUUGUAAUGAGACAAAAGGACAUUUCCCCAAAUUGAUAUUUCCAACUGAUAUAACUAAACAUCUCAACUAAACUUAGGGUUGCAAGGAAAGGGCCAAAAAGUGCACAAACUUUUUAUAUUGGAAAAGCUUUAUUACAAAAUAAAAUAUAUUUUCUCGUGAUAUUAAUACAAAUAUACCCCAGAAAAUGCAUCCAUCACAGACAAAAAUGAACUUCAAACCUAUGUUGAAGCACUUAAAGGAGGCGUACAAGCUUAUGUUGUUUGAUUAGUCAAACCAGAUUUAAUAGACCUAUUACCAAUCUCAUAUGAUUUUUCUGUUUUUGAAUGGAUGGGAGUUGAUAAUUUUAAAAUGUAAUUUAUUGAACUAACAUUUUCAGAGUUAUGGAAAUCAAAAUUUGUGGAAUUACAAAAAAGUCUGGAAGAUAACUCUAACGAUAAAUGACAGCUAUUUGAAAUUGCUAGAUGACAUUGCCAGAGAUAUUUAAUUUUUUGAAGGAAAUUAAACGUGCUUUGCUUUCCACUGUUGGUUCUACAUAACUACAUGAACAAAUCUUUUCUCAUAUGAAAAAUAUUUUGGGUCCGCAAAGAAGUUGUUUAACAAAAUUCAGAAUCAUGUGUUAAAUUUAAAGUCACAAAUUAUACCCCUGAUAUUGCUGUAUUAGGUAAAGCGAGGCAAAGGCAAGCUUUGCUUUAAAAUGUUAAUUUUUUAUUUAAAUAUCUUGAAGGAAUACUUAUAUUUUAUGUUGAUUAUUUUUUAUUUUAAUAUGUUUAAAAGAUACAUAAUAUGUGUAAAAUUAAAAUUUUUUAUUUAGGUUGAAGGAAUAGUUAUAUAUUAUGUUGUUUGUUUUUAUGUUAAUAAAUAUGUAAUUAAUAUAUAAUAAAACUCUAAAUCUGUAUUCUUGACCUCUAUUCCCUAACUCAACAUGCAUUGCCGUGGGAAUUGAAUUGUUUCAGAUAUCCCCCCCGUGCAGCAUCCUGAAUCAUAUUGGUAGAUUGCUUUACCGCACCACAGGUACAAGGUUGCCGACCCCUGCUGUAGACCAUUUGGAAACCACCUAAGAUAUAACAAGAUUUCCAUAGCAUUGAAAAGAAGCUAUAUCAUACAUUCUUUGUGGGAAUUUACCAAAAAUGCUUUUUUUUUAAGCUGCAGUUCAUCUGUGAAGAAUUCAAAAGUUAAUUUACACAUGCCAGUUUCAGAAUUUAAUUUUGUUUUUGAAUAAACUUGAGAUGCAAUCUUUAUUUGAUACAUAAGUCUACUAUUUUACACAGUUACAACUUACCAAAAGGAAAAUAAUCAUCUUUUGUGCAUAGACGGUGAACAUGUAUAAGCAGUUAGGAAUUGUGAUUGCUCUUAAGCUGAUGUUACAUGCCAGUUUGGCAUGAAGGCCAAAGUUCAGUUGAUUUAUACACAUUUUUGCAUUAAGGCAAUAGUAUCAAAUUGUUUCAAAAGUAUUCUUUUGGUAUAUUGUUUAAAUAUUCUACCUUGAAACAAUGUUUAUUUUUGCUAGGAUAUUAUAGGCUGCUCAUUUGUACAUUUUGACUAAUUAAACUGAAAGAUAAAAUUUGUGAAGUUCUUUUAGUUUUGUAACUCUAGAAGUGAUGUAGAACAAAGAUAAUGCUCAUUCUGACUACCAUAUGUAAAUUUUGUGUUUAGAAAAUGCGAAAAUUGCUUAUUUGUCAAUGGUCUGUUAAGCAGAAGAUGAAAUAUUUUUAUGAAUUAUUUAUGCAAUUUUAAAAUGUCUGAUUUAUGUCCAAGUGUAUAUAGGUAUGAAUUUCUGUGUAUAUAAAUAACAGAUCUUACUGAUGCAUGAAUAAGCACAUCAAAGUACAGUUUUUAUUUUGAACAUUUUAUUAAAAUUUUAACUUAAAGUACAAAACUACAGGUAAAACAGUGUUAUUUAAAGAAGCUUAAGUAAAAAGAAAAAUUCUUACUCUCAAUCAUUGCUUAUUCCAAGAACAUGUUCUUUUAAUUAUAAAGUGUAGUAGUUGUUGGAUACCAUAUAAAACAGUGACCUAAAAAUUUUUAAAUUGGCAUUAAUAUCUGAAGAUUUAACCAGUCUGAAAUUUCAUUAAUAUCACUGUUUACUCAAAAUUCCACUUGCGGUUACUAUUUGUUAUUGGUACUUGUAUAGUAGAAGAAUUCAAAUUACUGUAAUAAGAGUUUGGUACUAAAUACCUAUGUUAUAAAAAUAUGCAUAAAAUCAACAUUUAGGAACAGAGAAAAAGAAACCGCCGCCCAACCGUUGUAGUGGUUAGCAUUGCUGACUGUCGUGCCGAAGGGCCUGGUUUCAAAUCCCAGAGAAGGCAUGGAUAUUUGUAAGUGUAUAGUGUCCAUGCAGCAUGGGGGCACUUUAAUAUGCUGCAAGCCGAAAGUCACCAACAUUGUGCUAGUCAUUCCUAUGGAAUUUUGAAGCAACUUAUUAAUAAACUGUUAGUAUUUGACCUGCUUUGUUUUUUGCACUUCGCUUUUGUCGAUUUCUAUUAUUUUGUUGGAUACUCUGGUUUUACUGAAAAUUCUGUUUUGCAUGCUGUGGGUACGUACUUCCUGCAGGUAAUAGUUCUGCUGUAUUGCAGAUUUAUCAGCCAUAUUCCAUUGACUAUAUCAUGUCCAUUAAUGAAAGCUUUUUUAUAGUAGGAUACCAUAACCUUGGAAAUAAUCCACUGUUUGCUAUUAUGUGUAAAAGGCCGGUCCCAUAUUUUCAAACUGCAAGAAAAAAUGCAGCAAUAACAGCUAAUUUAUAUCCUUGUUCAUGAAAACAUGAAUUGACAACUAUUUGGGUUAACAUCGUAUGAAAUGAGUAUGUUGUUGCACCCCACUUAUCUGUACCUGACAUUAAUUAAAUCACACUGCUUGGUGAUGGUUUCGUGGUCGACAAGAUAAUGUUUAAGUACCAUCAGCUGUGCUCUCAUUGGGAUUUGAACCAUGAAUCUUGUGCAUGCUAACAGUUAUGCAUGAGAUUAUGUACAGAGAAAUGCACUUUCUUUUAUUCAUCCCUAUGUUAACUGAGAAGAUCCAGUUGACCAAAUACAACUGAUGACAAAAUUGGCCUCCCCACCAAUAGGAGCAGCAGACAUGAAAAAUUAAUUAUACCCUUACUAGGAUUUGAACCAUGAAGCUUAUGGAUUAUUCCUUGUAUCUUAAUUUAAUUAAAUAUGUGGCAUAACAUAACCAUUAACCUCAAAGUAAAACUGGAAUGAGUAGAAAGUGAACUGCUCUGUAUGGCUCAGCCUGACAUUUAGAAGAGUGUCAUCCAGAGUAGUUAUUUAAAAACUGUCAAAAUGUAGAUUGUUUUAUGUAAAAUGUUCAAAACAUUGUUAUUGUUAAUUUAUUUUAAAAAUAUGACUGGUUUCAGCAGAUGUAAUAUCAGUUGGUAUUUACAAGAAAAUUUCACAUUUUUACAAUGUCAGUUCCCCCUCCAUAUUUUGUCAUUUUCCUCAAUAUGUAUUAUUUAAAUGCAGUACUAAUAUAUUUUAGAACUGGGAGGCUUUAAUUAAUGAUAAAAUGCAUUAAAACAUAUUAUUGGGAGUUUUUAGCUUGGUGUGUGAAGAAUUUAGUUCUGUAAUUUAUAAUUGGACAUGAUUGUUAUUCCAAAAACAUAUAUUUGAAAGAUUUCUGAAACUUUCCUGAUGUAAAUGCUUAUUAAAUGCCAAAUAUGUAAUUUUGAUAGCUUUUAUUAAAUUUAAAAUUAAGUGUUUAUUAAUUGAUGUAUAUUCAAACUUAAGUUGUUUGUGGAAAUUCCAGAUUGAUUUGGGAAAUUUUAUGUUGUAAAAGCUCUUAAAAAAUAUUUUUAAAAUGAUUAAACAUGUAUUUAUUAAAUUGAGUGCAGAUUUUUGAAUGUUAUAUCAGCAGUUUAUUCAUGAUAUAGUUUAAAUGCUUAUUGCUUAUUCAUAAAAAGUGUGUUCUUCGUAAUUAUCUUAUGAAUAAAUGUUAAAAACAUGCUUGAUAAAAUAUUUAAGCAUGUUAAUGAAUUUUUAUGUAGGGAAGUGAAGUUAAAUAUGUCUGGAUACAAAAAUAUCUGAAAUAAUUUCAGUGUAGCUUUGAUUAUUAAAUUUUUAAAAUAUUAAAAGUUGCCAAUAAAUGUUAUGUUGCCAUGCAGCAGUAAUUUGAUAAAGGCCUUCUGAAGCUACACAAAACAUAUAGUUAGAAUUAGUAAUUUUUCUCUCAACAACUAUAUGUGCAACUAAGAAACAUUUAAGUAUGAUCCUGUGGCAUUUUGUAUGGAAACACCUUCCAAAAGGCAAUAUUAAGGGAUUUUAAUGUUAGCUUCUUUAAAAUGUGAUGGUCUUUUUAAUAGAAGGCUUUGUACUGAUAUAGAUUAUAAUUUGGUUCAUGCUUUUCAUCAGAAAUAAGAUGCUUCAAAGCUUGUAAUAUUGCUUAAAGAAACUGUAUGUUGUUUUACAAGAAAAAGCUAUGAACAGUUUCAAUUUGUUUACAUUUAAUAUGACCCUAAAAGAAGCAUUUAAAACAAAUGCACAAAAAAAAAAAUUUUUUUUCAUAGUUUAAAAACAACAGAAUAAAAAACAGAUUAAAAUAGAUAAAUUACUGCAAUAUGUAGAAAACAUCACUAUUGCUUUGCCAGUAAGAAAACUCUUAUUGGCCUCAUUGCAGUGUUUGAUUGUAACAAGGUCUCUGCAAACAUUGUUACUAAGUGCAGCUCUAUUUUCAGAAACAGAAGCUAUUUUUUAAUCUAUCUGCUGAAUGCGAAAUAAUGUUUUCUUUUCUUGUGAGUAUGAAGAAAUUCAAGAAAUAUGCUCUUUUUUAACAAAUUGCAUGGCAUCCAGAAAUCUGCUCUAUUAUAAUGCCCUGUAUGCCAGUGUUUUGUAUGCUUGUUACUUUUAUGUAUUUUAGAAAAUACUGAUACUUUUUGAGGCAAUGAUACUUGACAUUGAGCAAUACCAAGAUGCUCAUUCCAGUUUUACUUAUAGCUAUGUUGUGAUAAGCUGUUAUCAAUUUGGCUGCUGAUAAAUAGUUCUCUAAUUAUUAUUCAUGUAAUAACAUUUAAAAAUCUAAUUUCAGGACUGGUUGAACGUCAUAUCAGUAGAUGCAGUUUGUUAAAAAUUGGAGAUAGAUAGAGCCAUGAGAGGAUAGAUAGAGCCUAUAGAUUAUGAUAGAGAUGAGAGGAUUUUCUAUGACAUGCAACUAGCUAUUUAAAAAGUAAAAUUUAAGCAUAAAUAAAUUUUGUGCUGCUCAAUUUACUGUUGUGGAAAGGCAAUGGAUUAUGGCAGUACUAACGGAGCCACAUAUUUUCAAGUGGACGUGUGUGUCAGAAAGUUGUAUGUCUGCUAUUGCUGUUAUAAUAUUUUUGAUGCAUUAGCUGCAGAAAAAUCUAAAGAAACUAGAACAAAUGUUAGAAAUCGGAGACCUAUCCAUGCCACUGGUCAACUUAUACUGGAGACUCGCACUGUGUGUUUAUGUGGAACGAUUUUGUCUGUGGCAACGUAGUUCAUCAUGACGAUAGUGUCAUUUUGUUACAAAUAAAAGAUGCGUGGCUAGACGCUGACACACAGGCAGCCGGAGUUUGAAAAAUGAAAUGUUUUGGGGGAAAAUAAUAGGUGCCAUCAUAAAAUCCAUUACAACCAGUAGAUAAAGUCAGCCUCAGCCUGGUUCUGAUAGUUGACUACUUUUGAGAGAAAUGGAAAUUCCUACAGAAGAAAAUCGGAGUCCGGAACCACAUGAAGUUCGACGCUGAUUUUUUUAUGAAAUCGAUAAGAAAUUUUGUUAUUCAUGCGAUUGUAUUAUAUUGUUAUUUAUGUCAUGUUCGAUCGUAAGUUUUUGUAAUUAAAUUGUACAUCAAUUUAAAUCAGGUUUAUUGUUCAAAUUUUAUUUAAAAUGUUCUUGAAG
rnacentral:lncRNA from 1 species